rnacentral:rRNA from 1 species
CCUACGGGCGGCUGCAGUGGGGAAUAUUGGACAAUGGGGGGAACCCUGAUCCAGCCAUGCCGCGUGUGUGAAGAAGGCCCUCGGGUUGUAAAGCACUUUCAGUGAGGAAGAACGCCUGGUGGUUAAUACCCAUCAGGAAAGACAUCACUCACAGAAGAAGCACCGGCUAACUCCGUGCCAGCAGCCGCGGUAAUAGGAGGGUGCGAGCGUUAAUCGGAAUUACUGGGCGUAAAGCGCGCGUAGGUGGCUUGAUAAGCCGGUUGUGAAAGCCCCGGGCUCAACCUGGGAACGGCAUCCGGAACUGUCAAGCUAGAGUGCAGGAGAGGAAGGUAGAAUUCCCGGUGUAGCGGUGAAAUGCGUAGAGAUCGGGAGGAAUACCAGUGGCGAAGGCGGCCUUCUGGACUGACACUGACACUGAGGUGCGAAAGCGUGGGUAGCAAACAGGAUUAGAUACCCGUGUAGUC